rnacentral:rRNA from 1 species
AUUGAACGCUGGCGGCAGGCCUAACACAUGCAAGUCGAGCGAGCGGCGGACGGGUGAGUAAUGUCUGGGAAACUGCCUGAUGGAGGGGGAUAACUACUGGAAACGGUAGCUAAUACCGCAUACCAUCAGAUGUGCCCAGGUGGGAUUAGCUAGUGGGUGGGGUAACGGCUAACCUAGGCGACGAUCCCUAGCUGGUCUGAGAGGCUGAACAGCCACACUGGAACUGAGACACGGUCCAGACUCCUACGGGAGGCAGCAGUGGGGAAUAUUGCACAAUGGGCGCAAGCCUGAUGGAGCCACGCCGCGUGUGUGAAGAAGGCCUUCGGGUCGUAAAGCUCUUUCAGCGGGGAGGCGUUACCCGCUCAAGAAGCACCGGCUAACUACGUGCCAGCAGCCGCGGUAAUUC